GUAUUCACCUGAGCAAUACAUAGCCUCAAAAUGGUUUGAUACAAAGUGGAUUAGUAUUGACCCUCCAGAAAGAUGACCCACUAAUUUAUGAAGAAUUACAUAAGUUU